GAUGAACGCUGGCGGCGUGCCUAAUACAUGCAAGUCGAGCGAACGGACGAGAAGCUUGCUUCUCUGAUGUUAGCGGCGGACGGGUGAGUAACACGUGGAUAACCUACCUAUAAGACUGGGAUAACUUCGGGAAACCGUAGCUAAUACCGGAUAAUAUUUUGAACCGCAUGGUUCAAAAGUGAAAGACGGUCUUGCUGUCACUUAUAGAUGGAUCCGCGCUGCGUUAGCUAGUUGGUAAGGUAACGGCUUACCAAGGCAACGAUGCAUAGCCGACCUGAGAGGGUGAUCGGCCACACUGGAACUGAGACACGGUCCAGACUCCUACGGGAGGCAGCAGUAGGGAAUCUUCCGCAGUGGGCGAAAGCCUGACGGAGCAACGCCGCGUGAGUGAUGAAGGUCUUCGGAUCGUAAAACUCUGUUAUUAGGGAAGAACAUAUGUGUAAGUAACUGUGCACAUCUUGACGGUACCUAAUCAGAAAGCCACGGCUAACUACGUG
rnacentral:rRNA from 1 species